GCAGGACUGCCCCGUCUCAUUGAAGCCUUCAGAGGCCAAAGGGUGUAUUGAUUUUUUCGGUCGUGUUCUGAACUGUUUGCGUUAGACCGGGAUCUGACUGGAGUUGCAUUAUCCUGUUUAGCAGAGCUGUUGGAAACAGCCGUUUUGAAGUGCUCCUCUGUAAUGCCCGUGAUGGCAAGCCACUGACCUGCCCCAGGGCCAGCUGGACAGGAAGUCCUCCGCAGGCGCUUAGUUGCUUAGUCACCAUGCUUUCUGUUUGUACAUGUGUUUGCCCUGGAAACACGGGCCACAAGAGAGAUCUGAUGUGGGCUUCUGAAGUAUUUUUAUUUCUGGGGUUCAGCUUCUCUCCCCGGCUCAUUCUGUGACGUGGUAGUGCUCCUCUGGGAGAGAAGCAGGUGAAGACGGCAGUCACUGGAUUCUUCCUCUGGACGUCAUGGCUGUGUCCUUGCCCGGUAUCCGUGACCCCAUGGGCUUAUCUGCUCCCCUGAGUGCUUGCAGAGAGUCGUCAGUGAGCAGUCAGCAGCCACCUGUAGGUGCCUUCCCAGAAUGCACCCUGACUGAACGCAAGCCUCCCUGCGAUGGCGGCCCCUGAGAUUCAGAUGAUCGUGAAAAUACUUGAUUCUGUCCAA